CCUACGGGAGGCUGCAGUGGGGAAUAUUGCGCAAUGGGCGAAAGCCUGACGCAGCGACGCCGCGUGAGGGAUGAAGGUCUUCGGAUCGUAAACCUCUGUCAGCAGGGAAGAACGGUCACUGUGCUAAUCAGCAGUGAAUUGACGGUACCUGCAAAGGAAGCAUCGGCUAACUCCGUGCCAGCAGCCGCGGUAAUACGGAGGGUGCGUGCGUUAAUCGGUAUUACUGGGCGUAAAGCGCGCGUAGGCGGUAUGUCAAGUCAAGGGUGAAAUCCCCGCGCUCAACGUGGGAACUGCCUUUGAAACUGGCAGACUGGAGUGUGUGAGAGGAUAGUGGAAUUCCAGGUGUAGGAGUGAAAUCCGUAGAUAUCUGGAGGAACAUCAGUGGCGAAGGCGACUAUCUGGCACAUAACUGACGCUGAGGAGCGAAAGCGUGGGUAGCAAACAGGAUUAGAUACCCCGGUAGUC
rnacentral:rRNA from 1 species